AGGGACAGCCCCACAUCUGCAACCAAAUCCGUCGGUCACCGAAUUCAGUAAUCUCCGUCUCUUUGUGCAUUGUGUAUGUACGGUACUCCCAAUUCUUAUAUUUAAUCCGGUGUGUCUCCCACAAUCUUUGUGUCUGUCUGUUGUAUGUAUGUGGCACGCAAGUCUGCAUGCACUGUGUCUGUUAUGCCAGUUACUCUAACCAGUUUAUUUCUUUUUGUGUGUGUCACAGCUCUGACGAGCAUGUUCUCCUAUGGGACACGAAGUACAUGAAGAGGAAUGAAGAAGCCCAUGUUUGAUGCUCGUCUCCAGGGUGGAGUAUUGAAUUUAUAAGUAAUGAAGUGGCAUCUGACACAUGACAAGCUGCUCCUGUUUGCACAGCAACUUCAACAUUGUGUACUGUGAUCACGGCAUAGUUCAGAGGUAGGUAACCUUGGGCAGUCCAGAUGCUGUGAAUUACAUCUCCCAUAAUGCUGGUAAACCAUUAUGGGAGGUGUAGUGCAAAACAUCUUGAAUAACGAAUGCGGAUGAAUGCAAAGUAUGGUGUGUGUGAAUGGUCAGUAACAAGGGUUGAAGCCUUGACGUGGCGUUACUGCUCACAUGUGUAUUCAUGUGCCAAUUCAACCAAUGUGAGUCACUGUAAUACUUAUAAGGUAACCAAAAGUACUGUGAUUGUGGAGAAUGAAACACCUGUAUCACCUACACACUGUUUACACUGUGACUGUAUCUCCUAAACACUGCUCACACUGUGACCGUAUCUCCUAAACACUGCUGACACUGUGACCGUAUCUCUUAUACACUGCUGACACUGUGACCGUAUCUCCUAAACACUGCUGACACUGUGACCGUAUCUCUUAUACACUGCUGACACUGUGACCAUAUCUCCUAAACACUGCUGACACUGCGACCGUAUCUCCUAUACACUGCUGACACUGUGACCGUAUCUCCUAAACACUGCUGACACUGUGACCGUAUCUCUUAUACACUGCUGACACUGUGACCAUAUCUCCUAAACACUGCUGACACUGCGACCGUAUCUCCUAUACACUGCUGACACUGUGACCGUAUCUCCUAAACACUGCCCACACUGUGACCCUAUCGCCUAUACACUGCGACCCAAUCGCCUAUACACUGCUUACACUGUGACCCAAACGCCUAUACACUGCUUAUGCUGUGACCCAAUCGCCUAAACACUGGUUACACUGUGACCCAAUCGCCUAAACACUGCUUACACUGUGAAUGUUAGUUUUUUCAAGUUACUUUUAGUGUUUGCGGUUUCAUUGAUUUGUUAACCACUCUCCUCAAUCUUCUGUUCUGUGUUUUCUUACAUUUGUGGGAAGAACAAGGUGAUCCUCUCAAUUUUACACUCCUUUACUGAUGGUUCCAGUGCCAGAGACAACCCCACCACCAUUAACCUCGACCUGCUCAAACAGAAGAGAUUACCUUCUUCUAUAGAAAACGUCCAUAUGGCUGUUUCGGAACACAUGCUACAGACAUGAUUUAACCUUCAUUUUCCAGUGAUUAAGAAUUGUGGACCGUCCAGGGAAAGAGAC